CGCUGGCGGCGUGCCUUAUGCAUGCAAGUCGAACGGUCUCUAGUGCCGCAAGGUGCUGGAGCAGUGGCGAACGGCUGAGUAAUACAUAAGUAACCUACCCUCGAGUGGGGAAUAACCCGCCGAAAGGCGGACUAAUACCGCAUAGCCUGUCUUCACAACAGUGGGGUCAGCAAAGGUGUAAAUCGCUUGAGGAGGGGCUUGUGUCCUAUCAGGUAGUUGGUGAGGUAACGGCCCACCAAGCCUAAGACGGGUAGCUGGUCUGAGAGGAUGUACAGCCAGAUGGGGACUGAGAUACGGCCCCAACUCCUACGGGAGGCAGCAGCAGGGAAUAUUGCGCAAUGGGCGAAAGCCUGACGCAGCGACGCCGCGUGAGGGAUGAAGGCCUUAGGGUCGUAAACCUCUUUUUAUGGGGACGAGCAAGGACGGUACCUGUAGAAUAAGCCCCGGCUAACUACGUGCCAGCAGCCGCGGUAAUACGUAGGGGGCAAGCGUUAUCCGGAUUUACUGGGCGUAAAGGGCUUGUAGGUGGCUUCAAAAGUCUUUUGUGAAAUCUUUUCGCUUAACGAAGAGAGGCCAGAAGAUACUCUGAGGCUUGAGGGGAGCAGAGGAGAAUGGAAUUCCCGGUGUAGUGGUGAAAUGCGUAGAUAUCGGGAGGAACACCAGUGGCGAAAGCGGUUCUCUGGGCUCAACCUGACACUGAGGAGCGAAAGCGUGGGGAGCAAACCGGAUCAGAUACCCGGGUAGUCCACGCCAUAAACGAUGGGUGCUGGGUAUGGGGGGUAUCGACCCCCUCCGUGCCGAAGCUAACGCGUUAAGCACCCCGCCUGGGAACUACGACCGCAAGG
rnacentral:rRNA from 1 species